GCCUCCAACGAGAUAGUGUCCUCGGGCUGCCUCGGCGGGGAGGUGCGCGUGUGGGGCCUCAAGGGCGGCAGUGAGGUGUGGACGACAGAGAAGAGCACGGUGAUCGCCUCCCUCGCCUUCCACCCCACGGACAAGGUGCUGGUCAUCGCCACCUACAAUGAGAUAUACUUCUGGGAUUGGUUCCAGCCGCAGCCCUUCACCAAGAUAUGCACGGCUGAUGAGAAGGAGAAAGUCAGGUACGUCAAAUUCGACCAGCUCGGCCACAAGCUCAUCACGGGGAUCGCCAACAUGCCCCACGAGAGGCCCGGGUUGCCCUCCACCCACCACAUGCCCUCGCGCUCGGAGCUGGUGGAGCGCGAGCAGCGAUACAGCCAGCUCUCCAGCCAGUACCUCAGCCUCGUCUCACACCUGGAGGCCCUAACGAGCUCAUCCGCCGCCGCUGCUGCUGCGUCCGGCGGCUCCUCGUCUGCCGCCACAACCGCCGCGACGUCAUCCACAAGCACCACGUCAGCUUCCCGCACGAUCGACCGAGGCACAGACCCCAUAGAACUCGGGGCAGCGCGGCGCGGCAGAUGACCGAGGAACGCAGAGGUACCGGCGGAGGAGGCGGCGGCAGUGUUGGCAGCGGCGGGAAUGGUGGCGGCAGCAGCAGUCAGGGGCCGCAGGACUCCACCAACACAAGCGACCCACCCAGGCCAUCCUCAGCCUUAUGGGGCGGGGGCGGCCUCGGGGGGGACACGGACGGCGGCGGAGCAGGGGCGGGGGAGGGCGAGGAGCGGGUGGAGGAGUCAUCCAGCUUGGGGGCGGCUCGAUCGCUGCGCCAGAUGGUGAGUGACGACAGCGCCUCCUCCUCAAGCCUAGACUCGUCCUCCUCAGCGACCUCUGGGGCUAGCCGAGCCUCGGAACGCAACACCCGACUCUCGCUCCUGUGGACGUCUCGGCUCCAUCGUCUGGGGCAAGAUUCCGACGGGGUGGCGACCGAUGCGACUCCUAACCCAUGGGAGCCCCGACCUGACCCCGCCCCCAGGCCCCCAGGGUGAUGACGAACGUGGGGGUAAUGAAGAGGAGGCUAGUACUGGGGUGUCAACGUCCACCCCGUCGCCGCUAUCCGGGGCACGGGGCGAACGGUCAAGCCUCCAUUGGGGUUACUACUUCCAUCUAUCCGACCGCCCUGGGAUUCACGGCAGGCGACCAGGGCGGGUCAACCGGGGCAGAGAGAGAGCGGGGCCGCCGGAAGAUGCCCCGAGUCAGGCGAACGGAGCGGGGGCGGGGCCGGGGGUGGAGUCCAGGGAUGCUGUUGAUGAUCCGAGUGAUGCGACACAGCCCCCUCUGCCCCCCGGUCCUCCUCCUCUUCCACCUCUUCCACCUCUCCCUCCAGCCCCUCCACUGUCCCCUGUACCUCUUCUCCCCUCGCCUCCACUUCCUCCUCUCCCGCCUCUUCCGCCCUAUGAUCCACCGCUGCCCCCUCCCGCUCUGCCUUCUGAUCCACCCACCGAUCCACCAUUCUCGAGACUUUCCACCCAUGCCGAGCUGCCUGAUCUCUAUCCUACGCUGCCGCCGUCACCGCUCAGCUCCCUAGCGGAUCUCUCGGCUGCUCCACAUCCACAUCCACCGUCGGAACGCGCACGCUCUCUCGCACGGCUCCUCUCGCGCCCCCCGCCCUCCACCCUUCUUCCACGUUCCUCCACCCCAUCCUCUGUCCCUCUCUCCUCGCUCCGUAAUCCCUCCCGGUCCGAUGCCCCCUCCUCUUCCUCCUCCUCCUCCACCUCCUCCUCCACCAAUCCACUCUCCUCCGACCGGCUCCGCUCUUCCAUGGCGCGGCUUCUCUCCCGCCAUCCCUGUAAUUACUUCUCCAGGUCCUCCGCCUCGCACUCCGCCUCCACCCCCUGCUACUCCAUCCGAAAUCCAUCUCAUCCGCUGUUCAACACAUCCCUUGACACCAUUUCGGAUGACGCCUCGGGAUCCAGGGCGUCGUCGUCGUCGGGGCUGCUCGGGGCGAUCCGCGGGGCCGACCUUCCCCCGGGGCCGUCUGCCAGGUCUCGCUCGGCCCUGGACUCGCAGAUUGGGGUCCGGGUCCUCAGCAGACACAUCGUUAAUAUAGAACAGAUAUGCAUUGCCCUGCUGGAGAUCAACAACCACACCAGGGAGGAACAGAUGCUUCAGCAGAUCUGCCUCAUGCUCAACGAUAUCCAGGAACAGAUCCACUCUCUGCGGCUGCCCGAGGACUCCCAGGUGGUGGAGGACCUCGCCGGGGCCUUCUCCGAGACCCUGCCCACCCCGCCCAAGUUGAUUCAGCGGCGGCGAGCUCCCCCUUCCUGCCUAGGGUACACCAGCGCACCUCCUCGGGCUACCUGUGUCCCCGACCUACCCCGAGUUCAAGCGCUGGGCAUCACGCAGCGCAUCCAGGCUUGGGACUUCACCCGCUGCCGCAUCCCAGACAUCUCGGACGGUGUGGCUAAUGUGGUGGUGCGGAAGUGCAAGAUCCACAACGACGCGAGUGUGGACAUAUCCUCCGACGGCACCAUGCUGGCGGCCCUCAUCCCCGAGAGCCAGGCGAUGACCAUGGUUGGUUUUGGGCGCCCAGCCGUACACGUGAACUAACAGUCUUGGCUUCAGGGCAGGUCGCUAAAAUGGGGAGAAGACAGGAGGAGGAGGAGGAGAGAAGGAGGAGGAGGAGGAGGAGGAGGAGUGCCUGAUCCAGCAAGGUGAUUCACUGUCCGUCCACCCUCAGGAAAGACCUUUGAGAUCCAGCUCCGGAAAACUUCGAAAGGAAGAACCAAAGGAAGGAAGGAAGACCAUCUCAGAAGACCCCAGAGUCAGCCCCUACAGUCCAUCAUAGUCCAAGAAAUAGCUGAAGGAAGUCCCAAGUUCAAGCGACCUUCCUUUCUUUCUGAUUCAAGUCGUCUGUACCUUCAGCGAGGGGGCAAGGCGACCAUGGACCUCUCCCUUCCCUUCCUUUUCUUUCCU